GCACCCGCGGUAAUUCCAGCACCAAUAGCGUAUAUUAAUGCUGCUGCUGUUAAAAAGCUCGUAGUUGGGUCAAGAGUUCGACAGUGCACGGUGGCCCUGUUUGUCAUGGUGGUUCCGAUCACCGUGGCGGCAGCGGAUCAACCCCGUGCACCAAACUGUUGACUCUAACAGACCGAAACGGUUCCCUGUGAGUAGGCUCCUUCAUUGGGGCUGAAAGCGCUUACGCAUCAACCAUAUGCAUACGGGACGUCGGUCAAAGUUACUGUGAACAAACCAGCGUGUCCAAAACAGGCUUUCGCCUGAAUGUUCGAGCAUGGAAUAACAAGGGAUCGAUUCUCUCGGUUCUUUUUGUUAGUUUUUAACCCGAGAAGGAGUAAUUCAGGCCACGGUGUCUGAGUUGGGUUUCCCUUCACCUCGGUGGAGGCCCCAAUUAGGCCGUGUCCUUACGGGAUCAAUAGGGACUGACGGGGUCGUACGUACUUCCACGUCAGAGGUGAAAUUCUUAGAUCGUGGGAAGACGAACUUCUGCGAAAGCAUUCGACAAGAAUGUCUUCGUUAAUCAAGAACGAGAGUGUGGGGAUCGAAGAUGAUCAGAUACCGUCGUAGUCCACUACUGUAAACAAUGCCGUCCCAGGAUUGAGAAGUGAACAGAAUGACUUUCACAGCACUAGCCCCUGAAACGAGAAAUCAAAGAUCAUGGGUUCAGGGGGGAGUACAUUCGCAAGGCUGAAACUUAAAGGAAUUUACGGAAUGACACCACAAGGCGUGGAGUAUGCGGCUUGAUUUGACUCAACACGGGGAAUUUUACUAGGUCAGGACAAUGUAAGGAUUGACAGAUUGAGAGCUCUUUCUCGAUCCAUUGUGUGGUGGUGCAUGGCCGCUCCUGGUUGGUGGAGUGAUUUGUCUGGUUGAUUCCGUUAACGAACGAGAUCUCGACCCUUAAAUAGGUGCCCGUGUCGAAUGUAGUUUCGCCUCCGCGUACAUGUACGAUUGGAGCGGGACGAGACUGCGGGAAUAGUUCUUAAGGGGACUGUGUGCGUCUCUAGCACGCGGAAGAGCGAGCCAAUAGCAGGUCUGUGAUGCUCCUAAAUGUCCUAGGCUGCACGCGCACUACACUGAUGCAAUGAACGAGUCUGAGUGCCUUCUGGCAACCUACCUGGAAGCGGGUGGGAAAUCUUUUGAACUUGCAUCGUGAUGAG
rnacentral:rRNA from 1 species